GGCACCGACGCUCGCUCAUCUCCCCCAACACUCCCAAAGCUGCCACUUGCCCAGCACGGCUUCACUCUGUCAUUUUAUUUACAGUGGUCUUGGGUGCACUUUAAUGGUUAGAUUGAAUGAAAACAGAAAAAGAUUCGAUUUGGAGAUGCAAGAAGGCAAUACUUUGUGCAUUUUAUUAUUGCGCUGAGCCGUGAUGGAGAGCAGAACAUGACUGCAGCUACCACAAUAUUGCGGUUACAAAAACCAUCUCUGAAAACUAGUGCCAUCAGGAUCACAUUGCACUCCCCCCCCUUCCCCAAGUGCAACCUGCAAUUUACUGUUGCAGGAAACCUAACCAAUCACAGUGAAGAAAUCCGACUUUUCUGGAAACUCUUUAUUGUGGACAACAAGAUGUUCAGAGCCAACCAGUCUUAUCAACAGUUAUAUAAUUAAAUGACAAGUGAUGUGCUGUUAUGCAGAGACAUCUUCUAGGAAGGUUUAACAAGUACAGGUAACAGAUCCACAAAGGAGGGACAACUUGGAGCCCUGUGCUACCACACACCAGCAGGAGUAAGCCAUUUCCUCCCUGAUCCGGAGCACCAUAAGUGGACUCUCUAAUCGCUUGUGUUCCGUUCUAUCAUCUGGAGGACACAUCACAUUCAUGAACAAUACUGGCUAUAGCUGCAAGCCCCGGGGGAACCGGUUUCUGGAGCUGCAACACCGGGUAUUUCCUACUCUACAGACAGUGGGGCUGGUGACGCGCAAGCUGUGCGUUGCCUUGGCAACAUGAUAUCGGGAGCGGAAACAGAAGUGGAUGCGGCGGCCGUGAACGGAAGCCAGGGGGAUGGCGGCGGAGUUUGGCGGGACCUGUACAGGUAUUUAAAUGAUUGUACAGACCUCAAGGGAUCUUACUGGCAAUGCCAUUGCAAAUAGAUGAAGCUUUCGGUAAUGAGACCAUACAGCAAAGUGGAAUGAAACAUCUGUUCUAUAUCACAACUCCUAAAUAAAGUUGACCUUAAGAAGAAAUGUAAUGAUUUUUAUAUGACACUUUGUAACAUAUGCUUAUGUUGCUCUGUACCAAUAAUGACAAUUGUACCCUCACAAGAGCACUCUGUUUUCCAUUAGUUACUCCUGCUGUCUUGUCCUUUAAUAACAGUCAUCUGAAAUCAUGAAAAACUCUGUUACUGAGAGUCCUUGAGAUGUAGACACCAAACCCUGCAAAAAGGGGUUCUACUGGGUGAGAUCUACCGACGUGAGGCAUGUGUCAUUAAUUUCUACAAUGUAAAGUAAAUAUACUGUAGGCUAGAUGACCAUAACAAAUAAAAAAAUAUAUAUUUGUCAAA